rnacentral:rRNA from 1 species
UACGUAGGGCGCAAGCGUUGUCCGGAAUUAUUGGGCGUAAAGAGCUCGUAGGUGGUUUGUCGCGUCUGCCGUGAAAGCCCGGGGCUUAACUCCGGGUCUGCGGUGGAUACGGGCAGACUAGAGGCAGGUAGGGGAGAACGGAAUUCCCGGUGUAGCGGUGAAAUGCGCAGAUAUCGGGAGGAACACCAAUGGCGAAGGCAGCACUCUGGGACGUGACUGACGCUGAGACGCGAAAGCGUGGGGAGCAAACAGU